rnacentral:rRNA from 1 species
UACGGAGGGGGCUAGCGUUGUUCGGAAUUACUGGGCGUAAAGCGCGCGUAGGCGGACCUGCAAGUCGGGGGUGAAAGCCCGAGGCUCAACCUCGGAACUGCCUUCGAUACUGCGGGUCUCGAGUCCGGGAGAGGUGAGUGGAAUUCCUAGUGUAGAGGUGAAAUUCGUAGAUAUUAGGAAGAACACCAGUGGCGAAGGCGGCUCACUGGCCCGGUACUGACGCUGAGGUGCGAAAGCUAGGGUAGCAAACGGG